rnacentral:rRNA from 1 species
AGUGAACGCUGGCGGUAGGCCUAACACAUGCAAGUCGAACGGCAGCACAGUAAGAGCUUGCUCUUACGGGUGGCGAGUGGCGGACGGGUGAGGAAUACAUCGGAAUCUACUUUUUCGUGGGGGAUAACGUAGGGAAACUUACGCUAAUACCGCAUACGACCUACGGGUGAAAGCAGGGGAUCUUCGGACCUUGCGCGAUUGAAUGAGCCGAUGUCGGAUUAGCUAGUUGGCGGGGUAAAGGCCCACCAAGGCGACGAUCCGUAGCUGGUCUGAGAGGAUGAUCAGCCACACUGGAACUGAGCCACGGUCCAGACUCCUACGGGCGGCAGCAGUGGGGAAUAUUGGACAAUGGGCGCAAGCCUGAUCCAGCCAUACCGCGUGGGUGAAGAAGGCCUUCGGGUUGUAAAGCCCUUUUGUUGGGAAAGAACAGCAGCAGGUUAAUACCCCGCUGUUCUGACGGUACCCAAAGAAUAAGCACCGGCUAACUUCGUG